CACCGCCGCCACCACUCUCGAGACCUAACUAUCUUCUCCUCCAACCUCAACCACCAAUAUUCUCUAGAUGUAACCAUCUUCUCCUCCACCCUUCGCCGCCACCACCACUCUUUAGACCUAACAAUCUUCUCCUCCACCGCAACCACGAACAUUAUCUAGAUCAAACUAUCUUCUCCUCCACCCACUGCUGCCACCGCCACUCUCUUGAUAUGUUUGCCCUCAUAAUUGUGAGCCAUUGUCUAUGUUUUCCUCUUAGGUGAGAUCUGUGGUAUUCCAAGGCACCUAUGCGCUGCACCAUUCGCGUAUUCCCGACGAACCAUAGUCGUUGCCCAACUAUUAGGCCAUUCUCCAUUUACAUCUCGAACUAAAACGACGAGAUCCAAAGUCAAAGGCUUCUGCGGAAAUCUCAUUAUUCAAGUGUAGUAAGUGCGUUAAGAUGCCACUUUUGAAACGGAGAAGACGAGGUCUAAAAUCCAAGGCUUCUGCAAAAAUCUCAUUGUUCAAGUGCAGUAAGUACGUUAAGAUAGCACUUUUGGAACAAAGAAGAUGCGGUCUAAAUUCAAAGGCUUCCGUGAAAAUCGCAUUGUUCAAGUAUAGUAAGUGCUUUAAGAUGCCACUUUUGGAAUGGAGAAUACGAUGUCUAAAGUCAACAGAGAAAAAUCAGAGAUGGGAGGAAAAAAUCAAAGAGGAGAAGGAAAGAGUGGGACGUAUAUAAGGAAAGUUGGACAAAAAAGAGGUGAAAUGAGAACCUUGCGUUCUU